rnacentral:rRNA from 1 species
UGCGGAGGGAUCAUUACACAAAUAUGAAGGCGGGCUGGAAUCUCUCGGGGUUACAGCCUUGCUGAAUUAUUCACCCUUGUCUUUUGCGUACUUCUUGUUUCCUUGGUGGGUUCGCCCACCACUAGGACAAACAUAAACCUUUUGUAAUUGCAAUCAGCGUCAGUAACAAAUUAAUAAUUACAACUUUCAACAACGGAUCUCUUGGUUCUGGCAUCGAUGAAGAACGCAGCGAAAUGCGAUAAGUAGUGUGAAUUGCAGAAUUCAGUGAAUCAUCGAAUCUUUGAACGCACAUUGCGCCCUUUGGUAUUCCAAAGGGCAUGCCUGUUCGAGCGUCAUUUGUACCCUCAAGCUUUGCUUGGUGUUGGGCGUCUUGUCUCUAGCUUUGCUGGAGACUCGCCUUAAAGUAAUUGGCAGCCGGCCUACUGGUUUCGGAGCGCAGCACAAGUCGCACUCUCUAUCAGCAAAGGUCUAGCAUGCCAAUAGAGUCCGGUUGGUCAACAUUAGAUCAGCGGAGCAGUUCGUGUAGUGAGAACUGCUGAGGA